rnacentral:rRNA from 1 species
AUUGAACGCUGGCGGCAGGCCUAACACAUGCAAGUCGAGCGGAUGAAGGGAGCUUGCUCCUGGAUUCAGCGGCGGACGGGUGAGUAAUGCCUAGGAAUCUGCCUGGUAGUGGGGGAUAACGUCCGGAAACGGGCGCUAAUACCGCAUACGUCCUGAGGGAGAAAGUGGGGGAUCUUCGGACCUCACGCUAUCAGAUGAGCCUAGGUCGGAUUAGCUAGUUGGUGGGGUAAAGGCCUACCUAGGCGACGAUCCGUAACUGGCCUGAGAGGAUGAUCAGUCACCCUGGAGCUGGGACACGGUCCAGGCUCCUACGGGAGGCCGCAGUGGGGAAUAUUGGACAAUGGGCGAAAGCCUGAUCCAGCCAUGCCGCGUGUGUGAAGAAGGUCUUCGGAUUGUAAAGCACUUUAAGUUGGGAGGAAGGGCAGUAAGUUAAUACCUUGCUGUUUUGACGUUACCAACAGAAUAAGCACCGGCUAACUUCGUG